ACAAAACCUCAUUUAAAUCUCAGUCCUUCACUGUGAUCAUGUGAAUGAAUUACCAUUAAUGGAACACAUCAACAACUCUGAAAUUGUGAGUGAGAGAUUCACCAUCUUCAUCAUCAUUUUUGAUUCCCACCUCCUCUUCAAUUCCAUUCCCAUCACCGACGCCUUUUCCGAUCCUCUUACUCAUUGCCACCCUCCUCUCCGGUGACCGCCAUCAGGGUCUCUGAUUAUUCGAUUACUCUCCCUAGCUUCCAGGGUUCUUCCAAGCAUAUGGUUGCAUCAUUGUGGACCCUUGGCUACAGUAAUAGCAGAUGCUGUUUCAAUGUUCUGUAGAUUCCUAACAUGGACCUUGUUGGCAGGGUUGCGCUGGUGAAGAUGUUACAGCUAACCAAUUUUUGUCUGUUAACAAAUUUUUGUCAGCUAUAUUUGGAAAUAAGUCAGCUCUUUACAGUUUCAGUGGGAAGGAUAUGAGCAAUGGUCCCAAUGAUCAGAUACUUACAUUAUAUCCUGGUCAUGACCGUCCAGGGGAGUGCUAGGUUGGUAGUUAUGAAUUCUUUCAUCGAAACUUUGUUAUGAAAAUCAUAGAUUUUAUAUGUUUUACAUGCAUUCAGCAUGGUGGAGUCUUCUUGUUUUGAAAAUUAUCAAGGGUAAAUGUGUGUUUCCUGCAUUGUUUUUGGGUUGAUUAUGUGUUUUUGUUUGAUGUUGAAUAGAAUGUAAGUUACAUUAUGCAAUGGUUAUUGAAAAUUUUAGCAACAACAAUAAUACAGUUUUAUCAUGUAAGGACAUAGAAACUUUUUAAUAUAAAACUUAUAAAUAGAAAAAGUUAACCAUUCAAAUUUUCAAAAAAAUCACCAUUUAUCUAAUAAAUACUUUCUCUCUACCUUUUUCUCUAAAUUUCUCAUUCUUUUUAGAUGAGAGUCCACACCACAGGAAUUGUAGAGUAGAACAAAGCAAGUCUGUCCAAUCAUAAUUUUUUUUUCUGAAUAAGUUUCUCUUUACCCCUUUUCUUGAGUUAGUUUUGGGAAUUUUUGCAUGCACGAAGAUUAGGAAAUCUUGCAUGUGACCUCUCUAGGGCAAAGAUGAAUCUAUGUUAGUUCAGGGAUAUAAGGAUAUGUUUUUAUCAUUGAUCAUAGUCUUCUGUCUACUUGUGUAACUUUUUUGUUAGAGUAGUGAAAUUUGGGAGCUUAAACUUGAGCCAACAAGCCUUAAUAGGUAAGGUUCAGUUUUUUAGAGUAGAUGAUUUGAAUGUGAAAGUGACUUAGUCACUAAUUUUUUGUUUAUGUAGGCUUUGUGAAUUUGCUUGAUUGGUGUAUGUUUAGUGAUUUGUGUUAUGUUGAGUAGUGAAAAGUCAAAAUAAUUAAAUUGACUCAAAUUGGCUCAUAUUGAUGUUAUUUUAGAACCAAAUAUAUCAUGUUAGACAUAAGAAAUGAAGAGAAAAACUCAUUCUGAACCAAUCUGGUCACUUGAUAUGUUUUGUUGAUUUUCUGAGUUAUACAUAGUCGCUGGACGAAUCAUUUCUCGCCGAAUGAAAUUUGAACAACUGAAAACCUAAAAGGUUGGUUGAUGGGCGAGUAAAUUCUUGAGCUGUUUCUAUAAAAUCUUCUAAUGUUGGACAAGCCAAAAUUUAUUGGAUGUGGUGACGUCUUUGGUUCAGAGAGGAGAAUUCUGGCUGAAUGCUGAAUGAACUAUAACAUGUACUUAAUUUAGUUUAUCUUUUAUUGUUUGUUAUAUUUGAUUAAUAUAUUGUAUUUGAAUAUUAUUAUAAUGUAACCAAUAUUUAAUUGUAUACUUCCAAAACUAAAAGUCUAUACAGUUGUCAACUUAAAUACAACAAACUGAAAGCUUUGAACUCUUAAAUGUUGGUUAAGAUGAUGGUUUAAAAUGACAUAUAUCAGAUUUAAUACUGAUUGUAUGAAUAUUUUUCGAUUCACUAGGAAUUUGGAUAUUUUUAAACAGGGAGUUGGUAUUGCCUCAUAGUGGAAUAAUGACAUAUUGGCAUAGCCUAAAUAUUUACCCUUCAAUUGAUCAUUUCUGAUACAGCAUUUUUUUUUUCAGAGAACAAUAGCAUUUUAAAACGUUCUCAUUAAUAUCUGCUUUCUGUUUAUUUGAUUGUUUCCUCUUCUUUAUGUGGGUAACUUGAAGGGUAAACAAUGAAACCAGGGGAAGAGGCAUGCCCCGCCUGAAAAAAAAAGAAGAAGAAGAAAGGAGUGAGGAAGAGUGAAGUAGAGAGUGUAGGUGUCAAUAUCCACAUUUUAGUGCAUACUACUGGUUAUUGGUGAUUCUUUUAGUGUCAUUUGUUUUUUGUAAUACGACAGUGUUUCUUCACACCAAAUAUCUGCGCUUCUCAAGCAUGCCUUUGAACUUCUAAAAGCCUAGUAAGUUACUAGUCGUUAUGAUUUGUGUACUGUUUGUGCAAUCUUCACUCUAUCCAUUUACUUGUUAAUUCUUAGUUUUAUGAUUUAUGCAAUGAAUCUGGGAGUAUCUUCGGAGGUCUUCUCCCGAAAGGUCUGAUUAUAUAUGCAACAACAUCUGCAAAAGCAGAAGACAGCUGGGCAAAGUAUUGUCGUGGGAUACAUUGUAGUCCUUCUCCCUCUGAAGAUGAAACCUACCUGGGUGAUCAGUACAGUGUUGCUUGAAUAGAAGACAGGUCUUUUUUCCAAUACACUCUUCAAUUUUUGAGUUCCUGAACUGAUAUUUGAUGGGUUCAAGGAGGUAGUGGAUAUGUUUCACUUGUGUGAGAUGUCUUUUUACUGCUAUGCUUAGAAGUCAAAGAAAGGACUAUGAAUGGAAAUUCGGACUACGGUUCCCACGCGUUGUUGCAGUAUGGUUCUCACUCUUCUUAUAUCCUGCCAAUGAUAAUUCUACUCUCCUGAGUAAAAUUCAUAGGUGUCACCUUCAAAAAACAGUCGACCAACAUGAUGAAGAUCGCAUCCAUUUCUAGGAUAAGUUCCACAAAGCUGUUAUGGGUUCUUGUAGGAAAACUGCUGCUCAGAAAGAAAUCCUGGAAGUUAAGACUUUUAAGAUACAUUGUGGAUCCCUGUCUCAGUAUGGGAUGAAA